rnacentral:rRNA from 1 species
CUUCUAAUGAAGAUCACUUAUGUAACUCGCCAUGAUAAAGAUACAUGACCGUGAAUUAGCUGUAGUGGGACAGCCUGACAGUACUAAUGAAACAACGAAUUAACACAUCUCAGUGCUCAGGUCAGUUGUCGAAACUAAAUGUGAGAGUAUUUUCUUCGAACUUGUGGUUUACAAGCACAACAGCAACGAGUUUCUUCCAGACAAUGAUCUCUGCUGGAUAUAUAUGCACAAUUAUGAAUAUUUGUUAACGUUAUUGUACUUCCUCCGUUCCUAAAUACUCCGUAUAAGUCUUUUUAGAGAUUCCACUAUAGAGACUACAUUCGGAUGUAUAUAGACGCCUUUUAGAGUAUAGGUUUACUCAUUUUGCUCCGUAUGUAGUCUAUAAUGGAAUCUCUUAAAAGACUUAUAUUUAGGAACGGAGGGAGUACAUCAUACCAAUGCAGAUUACCCUACUCGUACUGUCUAUAAAGCCUAGCAUAAAUCAGUUUCUCCUUACUUCCUGUGUAAGUGUGUAAAUGUUAAAAUCUGUUGUCACACUUGUCUAAUCUUAACAUCUUCCUGCAUGAGGUAAAAACAAGAUUUUUAAACUUUUAAUGGUCUUCAGUCUAUUCUGCUGUUAAGACACAAUGGAGUACAAACGUGGAUAAGCAGAUGAAAGGGCAUACUAUGAUGUACCCCCUCUGUUCCGAAAUGUAAGUCGUUUAAGGGUUUGACGUGUAAAUUUCGUAACGCUACGAGAAUUUUUCACUUUCCAGAAAUGCCCUCCCACCACCGCUCGCUCUCACCCACUCGAGCUCACUCUCUCGUUCCCCUCUCACCCACCCGGCCACCCCUCUCUCGCUCCCCUCCAGAUCCCCGUCGUCGCCGGCCUCUCCUCGCCAUCGUCACCGCUGAGCCACCCCGCUUCCUCUCUUUCUCCGCACCACCGAGCCACCCCGUUUCCUCCCACCGCCAGAAAUCCACCACCCGUAGGUCAAAACCUUGAUUUUUUAGGCGCCGGCGAUGAGCUUCUGGCCGGCGGAGGCGCUGGAUCCGCGUGCUUCGACGCCGGCGACGAAGCGACAUGGAUCCGGGUGGGAUGCUGCUGGAGGACUUCGGGCUGUGGGUGGACCUGGUGCGGCGCAUCCGCGAGGUGCUGGCCAACUACCCGGAGGGCACCACCGCGCUGCGGGACGCCGGGAGCUCAUCCAGAACGCCGACGAUGCCGGGGCCUCGUGCGUCCGCCUCUGCCUCGACCGCCGCGCCCAUGGGUCCCGCUCGCUGCUCGCCCCCGCGCUUGCACAGUGUACGCCAGCAACGACGCCGCCUUCACCGACGAAGAGUUCGCCAGCAUCCCCCGCAUCGGCGGCCGCAAGAAGUCCUCCCAGGCCUGGAAGACCGGCAGCAAGAUGGGCGCUAGCUACACUCUCUAUCGCUGCCGAGCUCUGCUUCGAGCUGCUGCUCUUUCAAUUUGAGCUGCGCUAGCUAAGCUCUUUCAAUCUCAACCAAUUGUUUUAAAGAAGGGCUAAUGAAAAAAGAUGUGUGAGGGUAUCAGUCAUUCUCAUGCCGGCAUGCUGCACUUUUCAGCUAGCAGAUGCAGAGCGAGUACUGGGCGAGGAGAUGAACCUAGGCGAGCAAAAUUGAGAACUCCGGCUGGAGCAGCUCCUGUCCAGCGGCGAGGACUUCAGCGGCAGCAGCACCUGUGCGUGGGGAGGAACAGCACCUGGGCGCGUGCAGGCGGCAGCUCGCCUCCAACAGUGGGCGGCAGCAGAGCACCAGCUCGCCACCACCAGGGGCCGGCAGCAGAGCACCAGCUCGCCUCCACCAGCGGGCGGCAGCAGAGCACCACCUGGGCACGCGCGGGCCAGGAGGGGCCCCUGGGCGUGGGAGAGGAGGAGCGCCUGGGCAGGGGUGGAGGUGGAGGGCGGGGGAGGAGGCGGAGGUGGAAGGCGGGGAUGGAGGCGGAGGUGGAAGACGCCGAGGAAGAAGACGGGCUGAUUCAAAUUUUGAACUGGGGGCAUAAAGGUCCAUUUGCCCAUUUUCACCUGGUCGGAACAUAUUCCCCAGCGACUUACAUUUCGGAACGGAGGGAGUAGUGACUAUCUAUUUCAUAUCUUUAUUAGUCAUAUGUAUCCCCGAUCGUUUGCUCCAUCAGGGAUAACCAUAAAAUAAAGCAGAUGCAUGUUGGUUAUUGAAGAGACCCAGAGGAGCAACUUCUGAAUCUUAAAUAUGCCAAAAGCACAUUCAACAUUUAAAUAAUUGUGUUUACCUUUUGAUUACCACAGGGUGGGUACAGACUGGUCCUUCUGACCCGUGAUGAUAACUCAAGGUUGGGCAGCGGCGGCUGUGGUAGCAAACGGUGGUGGCGGCAGAAGGGGAGAUGAGAAGAAGGCGGCUCCAGGGUGCGACGUGGAGGCACUGCGCAAGUGCCUGGAAGAGAACAAGGGUGAUCGCGUCAAGUGCCAGGCCCACAUCGAUGCCUUCCGAUCCUCAUGUUCUGUCAGCCCCACCACCACCUCCGACCAACGUCCCAGCGUACAAAAGGAGACCUGAAACACUGGUGUUGUUACUGGGGUGGUUUUACAAGAAACCUUGUGGAAUAAUUAGGACUGCGCAAAUGGUCAUGUGAAAGAUAGGAUAAUUAGGAUUUAGACUAGCAGUUUUUUUCUUUUCUUUCUUUGUCACUGCUGUGUAUGGUAUAGUUUUCAAUUCCUUUGCUUUCUACCCCUCCGCUCCGAACAGAGCCUAAAAUGGUUCAGCGACUUUUACUUGCAACUAGUAGUUUAAAUUAUAACACGGGGAGUUGGUUAUUCUUGCCUCACCCUGUUGGGUUUCCAGGUUUGCAGGAGGACAAGAAGCAAAUGAG